AACGAACGCUGGCGGCAUGCCUAACACAUGCAAGUCGAACGAUUGCCUUCGGGUGAUAGUGGCGCACGGGUGCGUAACGCGUGGGAAUCUGCCCUUGAGUUCGGAAUAACAGCUGGAAACGGCUGCUAAUACCGGAUGAUCUCGCGAGAUCAAAGAUUUAUCGCCUGAGGAUGAGCCCGCGUUGGAUUAGGUAGUUGGUGGGGUAAAGGCCUACCAAGCCGACGAUCCAUAGCUGGUCUGAGAGGAUGAUCAGCCACACUGGGACUGAGACACGGCCCAGACUCCUACGGGAGGCAGCAGUGGGGAAUAUUGGACAAUGGGCGCAAGCCUGAUCCAGCAAUGCCGCGUGAGUGAUGAAGGCCCUAGGGUUGUAAAGCUCUUUUACCCGGGAAGAUAAUGACUGUACCGGGAGAAUAAGCCCCGGCUAACUCCGUGCCAGCCGCCGCCGUAA
rnacentral:rRNA from 1 species